UUAACCACCCCAACCCAAAACCGAAAGGCAAACCCAUAAGCUAACUAUUCCAAACUCAUUCAUACUCAAACAAAAUUACGCACAAUCAAUAGCUACCCUGCUUCCUUUAAGUUUUAAUAAAAUAAUUCGGUUCAAACAUCCAAUCCUGAAUGCAAAAUUCUAUCAGCCCAUCUCCACUGGUGCAAACAACGUACUCAAGAGAUCAAUAGGACUUUUUCGGAUAAAAAAAAUAAUGGAAAGCAAGCAACAAGAAUGAUGGUUAUGGUCACAUAAGUAAAAAUAAAUUAAUCACAAUAAAUCAGAGCAUACUCAAUUACUUAUGCUUUACAUC
rnacentral:lncRNA from 1 species